rnacentral:lncRNA from 1 species
GGGGGGAGAGGCCCUUGCAACGGCCCUUAUGCGUCCCCACAACCAUGUUAGGAACAGGAGGAGAACCUCAUCCUAACGUGAGUAAAGUCGAAGGCCCGAUUAUUUAGAGAUCGGAUGGGGGGAGAGGCCCUUGCAACAGUCCUUAUGCACCUCCACAGCCAUGUUAGGAACAGGAGGAGAACCUCAUCCUAACAUGAGCAAAGUCGAAGGUCCAGUUAUUUAGAGAUCGGAUGGGGGGAGAGGCCCUUGAAAUGGCCCUUAUGCGCCCCCAUAGCCAUGUUAGGAAUGGGAGGAGAACCUCGUCCUAACAUGAGUAAAGUCGAAGGCCUGAUUAUUUAGAGACCAGAUGGGGGGAGAGACCCUUGCAACGGCCCUUACGUGCCCCCACAGUCCUGUUAGGAAAAGGAGAAAAAUCUAAUCCUAACAUGAGCUGAAAUUGACUACAUCAGGAACAGGAGGAGAACCUCGUCCUGACACAAAUGAAGAACUGGUCAUUCAAGACCGGAUGAGGGGGAAGUCUCCUUAACGGCUCCUCUACACCCCUA